AGGUAGCCGUACCGGAAGGUGCGGCUGGAUCACCUCCUAACAGGGAGACAACAACUGAUCUAGAUGUCUGAGUUAAAUAUUCUCAGGCCAAGAUCCUGUCACCUUAGGUCGAUCGGUACCUCAAAUUAAAACCCAAAUAAUGAAGAAUUUCGUUUUUGGUAAUUAAUCUCAGUUCCUAAACUUUGUCUAGGUCACACCCAACAAGUGUACUCCUGGGCCAUUAGCUCAGGUGGUUAGAGCGCACCCCUGAUAAGGGUGAGGUCCCUGGUUCAAGUCCAGGAUGGCCCAUUCGGUGUUGGGGGUAUAGCUCAGUUGGUAGAGCGCCUGCUUUGCAAGCAGGAUGUCAGCGGUUCGAGUCCGCUUACCUCCACUGAUAACUGCCUGAAUAAUCCAACUGGAAGGAGAUACGCUUGAUUGAUGUGAUUUGGAAUUUGUUUAUCUGAAAUGAACCUAGCUUCCUAUCAUUAUUGAUAUUUCAAUAUCAACUAUAAAAAUUGAUAAGACGCUGGGCUCACUGCACUUUUAACCAAGAGCAGCGAACUUCAGUAGAACCUUGACAACUGCACAGGAAAGUCUGGAAAGAAUAAAAGCAUCUCAUAGAUGCAUCAUUCUUGAUGUCAAUUUUAUAGGUAAAUUUUUUAUCGAUACUUUGACUUCAAAGGAUUAUGUUUGAUUCUUGAUUAAAGAGCCGAGAUCCAUAGAGGCAUUUGACAUCUAUAUAUAGGUUUCAAAGCUAUUUCUAUGGAUAUUUUGGUCAAGCUACAA
rnacentral:tRNA from 1 species